rnacentral:rRNA from 1 species
CAGUAGCCGCGGGAAUACGGAGGGAGCUAGCGUUGUUCGGAAUUACUGGGCGUAAAGCGCACGUAGGCGGAUAUUUAAGUCAGGGGUGAAAUCCCGCAGCUCAACUGCGGAACUGCCUUUGAUACUGGGUAUCUUGAGUAUGGAAGAGGUUAGUGGAAUUGCGAGUGUAGAGGUGAAAUUCGUAGAUAUUCGCAGGAACACCAGUGGCGAAGGCGGCUAACUGGUCCAUAACUGACGCUGAGGUGCGAAAGCGUGGGGAGCAAACAGGAUUAGAGACCCCUGUAGUCCCUGUCUCUUAUAC